AGGAUUGAUAGGACUACUAACCGGUCGCUAGUAGACGGCCUCUGAGAAGACAACUACACAACAUGGGCAUAUACAACGAAAAUCCGAUCUGCAUAUUAUGUAAUGAGGAGGAGGAAACAGCCCCCAAUAUCAUCUUUGAAUGCGAAGCAACAGCUCACUGGAGUUUUAUCCUAACAUACGAAAAAAUCUGUGGGACAGUGGAAUAGUAGAAUGGAAGGAAACCCCAAACUAAACACUGCGAAAUGACGCCAAGCGAAGGAUCAAAAAUAGCGAGAAUAGGCCGACCGGACGAUUUUUAACAAAUCAGAAAAGGUUGUGUGAAGUAUUGUCAAAAUGAACCUAUUAAAAAAACCAUGAUUUCCAAUUCGAAAUCCACACAGUAAUACAACCUUUCACCAAUACUUAACCAAUUUAAGCUGCGGGCAUUUUCUUUUUUUGUUUAUUUUACUAAUUCAACGUUGGAUAAGGCCCAGUCACUAACCAAAAUUUGAUAAACUGAGAAACGGCAAAACAGGCGUCCGAAAUAGCGAGAACAUACGGACCAGGCGAUAAAAAAAGACAAAAGUUCAACAACUCAGGCAGACUGACUGGCAAAUUCCUGGAUUCCCUAAUUUGCAACUCUUGAAAUGUUUGAACUAUUUCUGAACCGAACGUGGAAAACUGACCAAGAUGAGUGACGAAAAUUGGAUAGUUCACUUAAUAUGCUCCAGUACAAGGAACUAAGGAGAGAUACAAAAUGCAAACAACACAAUACCAAAGGAAUUGCCUAAAUUUUUAUGAACAACAACGAAAAUAGGCGGACCUGGAUGGCGUUUAGAGCCAGUUUUAAAUAAUGGUUAUCCUCGCUGAGAUGGUCUCUCGUAUCGACAUUUUACCAUCUGAAGCGUUUGCUUGGUGACGAUGCCACGGCCUACUUAUAACCCUGACAAAAACUACAGUUUCAUCAACUUGCAUAUCCCAUGGUCACCACCCGGCAGACCAGAUAAGUGGUCUGACUAAAUCAAAUAAACACGACAAAGGACAAACAAUAAUAACGCAUCUGCAUUGAACUGAUAAAGUAAGGUCACCGAAAUAUCAGAUAAUUUUCUAAAUUGAAAAAAGAAAUUUUUUCCAAAGGCCAAGCUUAACACUUCGAAGCAGGAUGUACUUUGAUGAACCUAGGUCAAAAGAAUAUCAAAUCUGAGUCAAAACAAGAUAAAGGUUAACGAGACGUUUGGGCCAGCUAAAACUAUUACAAUUGAGCGAAUUAUGGCUUGCGCUGAUAAUGUUGAAGGGACUUUGAAUUGUGGAAAGUUCGUUUUAACAACUUCACCCUGAUUUAUACCGCAGGUUAACAUGGAUGAGAGCGGAGGAUCUACGCCGUCCGUCCGAUUUAACUUUCAUUUCAUAACUUUCAACGGAAAUCCCGACGGAACUCGGGGGUUUUCCUAUCGCAAAACUGGAACAGCCGAACGACGAGAAUCCAAAGGGGCCUCGCCUAUUGUACAAUUGUUUCAAUUUAAAAUGAAUUUUCUCUCUUUGUAACUGCUUCUCGACAUAUCUAGUACACAUUCAGAUAAAUAUGAUCAUUGAUGUUCAAACUCCAAGACGAUAUGGGACGUGAAAGCGUCUGUAUUAUAUAUAUUUUAUUUAUGGUUUGAAAAAUAAAUGUGUA